UGGCCACUCAGUAUUCGUGUUGGCAAGUGCGAAAAGCCGGUCGUAAUUGCAGAACCGAGAACUCUUCCUCGGGAUAGGUCAUUGCCUCAUUGGUUUAAGUGAGCUCAACAAAGACGGUAUGUUCGGUGAACCUAAUAGUUUAAAAUUAUAUUAAAGACUCUUAUAAUUAAGUCCAAAUUCAGUUAAUGAAAACUUCCCAAAUUAACUCAUAAUUUUCUUUGAAAUACAAAUUUGAAUAAUUAAUUCAAUCAAAUGCGAAAGUUAUCUAUAAGAUAGUGAAACAUUAAUCUUAUAAUUAAACACAUUAACCUACUUUGAGGAUUAAAACAUUGAGAGGUCUUAAUGUAAUAAUGAAAUCUGCCUACUGGACUUUAUUUGAAGCCUACUUCAUAACUUAAUCUUAUAAUUAAACACUAGGGGAAUUCCGGCGCGUAGUUUGGUUUCUCUUUUGAAUUCUAUUAGUUUCAUUUUCAUCUGUUAGUCCAAGUGAGUCUGAAUUGUUAGUUCUUGCCAAUGAAGAUUUGAGGGUCAUGCCUAUUUUAUAAAAAAAGAAAAGAUUUGAGGGUGUUGAACUAAUAAUUGAUUUGAUGAGAAUCUCUAGAUGUUAUGUCAAUGCGUUUCUGACUCUUGCUGAGUGGAUAUGAUAAAAAAAAUACUUAUGGGUUAGAUACAGUUUUUUGGUUUACGUAUGUAUUAAGGAUUUUAUUUAUUUCUUUAAUUUUAGGAGUCAGUACAGGAGAGAGUAAUAAUAUAUUUUAAAAGUAAAGGAAAAAACAAAUUAAAGAUUUUUUUAUUUAUGAUUGAAGAAAUGUAAAAUGAGGUUUGUCUUUAAAAAUCAAAGGAAACAAUGACAUAUUUUAUUUUAUCUAUGAGCAAUGUAAUCGACAAAUUUCUCAACUCUUAAGAAGUAGUAACAAUUCUUGUUUAGGUGAUUUAUGUUUUGGAGAUCGCAACUUUUGGAAGGUUUGAGUCUAGCCAUGUUUUUUAGAUAUAUGUCCUCCAGUUGAAUAGGAUACACACUGAGGUUUUCUUAAUAUUCCUCCAGCAACACUCGGAUGUAGGUAGUGGGUGUUCCCAGUCUAGGGUAUUUGGGAACUUUUUUUCCUUCUUUGAUCUUUAAUACGUACCCUUGUUGUAUUUUCCACCUAUCUGCUUGAGAAUAGAAUGGUGAGAUGAGUUUUUGAGAAUAUCUGCUUGUCUUGGUAUUGCUUUUGUAAGACGGUUUUUCUAAUUACUGGAGAGUAAUUAGUGGAUGAAUAAAGUUUGCCUAUUAGCCAUUUUAAUUUGAAUAUAUAAGACACUAACAAUUCUGCACCGUUUUAUAACGUACACCCCCACGAUUCUCCACUUCAUUAAAAAUAUUUUCUGAUAUUUAGACGCCGAUAUGAAUCUUGUGAUUUCUUGCACUUCGUUUCUUUUUUAACCCGGGUCUUUGUUCGACAAAUAUUUGGAACACUGACCUUUAAGAUGGAAUUAACAGCGUUAAAUGCUUAAAGAGUUUUAGAAAUGUAUUUCAUAUUAAUCUGGUUUAUGAAUCUGGGUUUGUUUCCACAAAUCUCAAAAACAGAAAAAAAAGAAAGAAAAAAAAACAAAAGAAGCCAACAAUAUGGUUCACAAUGUAUCCAACUUUAUACCCCACCAUACCUUGUAGGAGCGGAGGAGGAGCCUUCGUCGUUGCCACAAACUCUAUGAGAACAUUAUUUUAGGGAUUAGGUGCCGCUGAAGAUAUGAAUGUUAUUAAGGUAACUGCUGCUGGCUCCAAAGUCAUGAUCAAAAUAAAAAUGGGGAGGCAUCCUGAAAUCAAAGCCAAACAUAAAAUAAAUAUAAUGUGUGAUGGCUAUGCUAACCAACACUGAUGUCAAGCUACUAUAUACAGUAACAUAGCAUGUGCCAUGACUUUCCUCAAAGUCAUUGUAGAGUUAUGUUAAUUUCUCCUCUAAUGUAUCCAACACUCCAACAGCUUAAUGGGGAGACCCUAGUGUACAAAUGUUCACAGAGAGUUGGUUCUUAACUCUAACUAAGUUAGAUUUAAUAUUAUUUGCAAGAACAACCUUUGGUUCAACAUCAGAGCCAAGCAUCCAGGAGCGCUGCAAGCCGUCAAAUACACUCAGACAGAGAGGAGUGUCCCUACAGAGUGAAGAAAACCCAGUUAUUGAUACUUGACCAAACGGAGAAAGCACACAUAUGUUUAAGGAGGGAAAUAAAUUUGCAAAAGGCUAGUCGUGGUUGUCGUGACAUACCUAUCAUGCCUUAUAGUUGCCAUAUGGCAUUGAGUACUAUGGGUCUCUUUGUUGUAAACUGUUCUAAUAUAACCAACUUCCCCAACGUAUCUGUCACAACCAAGACAACAUUAUGGAACCUACCAAUGAAUUGUAUAAUAAAAUUAUGGAUCCCUUAUAAAGGAUGUUUAACGAUUUAAACCUGGCCACUCAGUAUUCGUGUUGGCAAGUGCGAAAAGCCGGUCGUAAUUGCAGAACCGAGAACUCUUCCUCGGGAUAGGUCAUUGCCUCAUUGGUUUAAGUGAGCUCAACAAAGACGGUAUGUUCGGUGAACCUAAUAGACACAAGAGAAUCCCCAAACUUGAAGCUCGGGUUGCUUCUUGCCACAUCGAAAACACUUAGCUCAUAAGCAGAGCCUUCUUGCAAGACAUGUCUGAAGGU
rnacentral:lncRNA from 1 species